rnacentral:rRNA from 1 species
CGAACGGGUGAGUAAUGCGUCGGAACUGUACCGUGUAAUGGGGGAUAGCUCGGCGAAAGCCGGAUUAAUACCGCAUACGCCCUGAGGGGGAAAGCGGGGGAUCGAAAGACCUCGCGUUAUACGAGCAGCCGACGUCUGAUUAGCUAGUUGGUGAGGUAAGAGCUCACCAAGGCGACGAUCAGUAGCGGGUCUGAGAGGAUGAUCCGCCACACUGGGACUGAGACACGGCCCAGACUCCUACGGGAGGCAGCAGUGGGGAAUUUUGGACAAUGGGGGCAACCCUGAUCCAGCCAUGCCGCGUGUCUGAAGAAGGCCUUCGGGUUGUAAAGGACUUUUGUCAGGGAGGAAAUCCCGCUGGUUAAUACCCGGCGGGGAUGACAGUAC